GUAUAGAAGUCAAAUGUAUAAUAGGGCAGAUUAGUAGAGAAUAAUUCUUGCCAAACGAGAAAACAAGCAGGGAACUACCAGCAUGCUCCCCCAAAAGGUAUGGUCUUUCCAACAUGCUAUAAAGUGAAAUUAGACAUCUUAGGAAAGUAAUGACAGAAAGAUCAGAGGAUUUAGUUCAUCAUAUUUCUUACUCAUAGCAAGACCAAUACUUCCUGUAUUUCCUCCUCCUCAGCCUACUUGAUGUGAAGACAAGGAUGAAGACCUCCAUGAUGAGCCAUCUCCUCUUAAUGACUAGAAAAUAUUAUGAUUUUCAUAACAGCCUUUUCUUUUCUCUAGCUUAUUUUAUUACAAUAGAGCAUAUAUUAACAAUAUAUACAACAUA